UCCUCACCAGCCUCUGCCCACCCAGAGCCUUUCUGGGGCACAAUGGCAAGCUCUUCGUGUAGUGGAGGAUGUAGGCGUGGAUCAGAGAAUCCAAAGUGGAAUCCAGCCAUGCAGGCUUCUCUCAUCUGACCCGUCCUAUGCUGAUAUGCCAUUCUGAACCUGGGAGCAGUGACUUUCCUAUCUCAUUUGUCACUAAGAGACCUUCUUCUCACUUAA